rnacentral:ribozyme from 1 species
GCCAUCGUCGGGAGCGCCGGCGUGCGUGGCGUGCGUCUGCGUCGUCGCCCCUUCCGCUGCAAAAGCGGAGCUGCUGCUGGAAGCGUCCUCUGCCGUCGCUCAAAAGCCUCUUCUGGACGCCGAGGCCGUGGGCCGCUGCAUCUACCUGACUGCUUCGUACGACUCCGACGAAGCGACAGCCUUGACCGCAAUCGAGGCGCUCGGCACCGAGGUCGCAGCUCAUCAAGACGAG